GACGAACGCUGGCGGCGUGCUUAACACAUGCAAGUCGAACGGAAAGGCCCUGCUUUUGUGGGGUGCUCGAGUGGCGAACGGGUGAGUAACACGUGAGUAACCUGCCCUUGACUUUGGGAUAACUUCAGGAAACUGGGGCUAAUACCGGAUAGGAGCUCCUGCUGCAUGGUGGGGGUUGGAAAGUUUCGGCGGUUGGGGAUGGACUCGCGGCUUAUCAGCUUGUUGGUGGGGUAGUGGCCUACCAAGGCUUCGACGGGUAGUCGGCCUGGGAGGGUGAACAGCCACCUUGGGACUGAGGUACGGCCCAGACUCCUACGGGAGGCAGCAGUGGGGAAUAUUGCACAAUGGGCGGAAGCCUGAUGCAGCAACGCCGCGUGCGGGAUGACGGCCUUCGGGUUGUAAACCGCUUUCGCCUGUGACGAAGCGUGAGUGACGGUAAUGGGUAAAGAAGCACCGGCUAACUACGUG
rnacentral:rRNA from 1 species